AUAUGCCCCCACAUAUGAUUAUCAUAAAAAAAUGCAUUUUGAAGGGAAAAAAAAGAAAUAUAACACAAGAAAGUAGUGAAGGAAGGUUCAGACAAUGAUAUUUAAUGAGAAAAUCUAUGGUACAAAAAAAAAAAGAUUCAUAGAAAGAAAAGAAGAUAAGGUGAUCUAAUGGGUAAAUGACCCAAUUUGUUAGUAGUUUUUCAAAAAAUAAGUGUGCUAAUAACUCAUGCCACAAUUUCAAUCAUGUUAUUAACCUACUUUGGAAGAUAUGAUUUGCUCCGAUCUAUAUUUACAAUCUUUCAGAAUAUGUUCAGCUUCGACUUUGAUGUGUGUAUGUCGCCCUUUCAGGUUUUCAACCUAGCAGUCAAUAUUUCUCUUGAAUUGAAUUCAAUCGGUCAACACAGGUCGUUACUCUUGAUAAGGGGUUUUUGUUCAAGUGGGUCGCACUGCCUUUAUUCUAUAUAAUAAGAAACAAAUGGGUGCCCCAAUUAUAGGUUGAUACUCAUGAAGGGUAUUCUACAGUUACGAGGUAAUGUUUGGCACGAGAAUUUUCCAUAUACUUUUCUUAUACAUUUGAUAGUCGUGAAUUUUAUUCUUGUGAGUGACUGUUCUUCAUCGUGACUUACUUUGAAUAUUGAAGAUAAAGUAGCUACAGUCAAGCCUUAUAUACGUUCAACAUCUUCAUUUUCGAUUUGUAGGCGGCUAGAGUAUCCAGGGUACAAACUUCAAAUUCCCAAUGUGAUUGACAUAUUCAAAACAUAUUUAGACUAUGAUUAAGAUAAAAACACUUGUCUAGGGGGAUUAACGUGACGUUAAUUUCAUGCCCCAGCAUAUCGAAGUCCAUCUAGAUAGUGCAUUUAUUUAUAUCGUUCUCACAUUCAAUGGAAUUUAUAGCAUGAUUGAAAUUAUGUAUGAGAUUUUAGCAAACUUAUUUAUGAAUGGACUACUUCCAAAUAUGUUUGGUAUAUGGUUUAAAGAAGAGAAAGAAGAAUAAUGUUUGGUAAGAGAUUGUGAAAUAUAAAAUGGGUGAGGAUGGAAAAGAAAACAAUACAAAAUGCAUUUAUUGAUAUUCAAAAUAUUGAGGCACAUCAAUAUGAUCAAUGUUUUAGGGUCAAAUUAAAUAACGUUAACGAUCAUGGGGAAACUUGAUAAUAUUUUUAUUGUUGACCUUUUCUCUUCUAUAUAUAUGGGAGAACAUAGUCAAGGUCUUCAAAGUAGUGUUUAACCAAUGUUUUUCUUCAAUAGUCAUCAAAAAUUCAUACAAGGUUUGCCAUUUUUUAGAUUGAUGACAACAAAUAAUAAUCGGUAGUGACGAAAGUUCAACAUAGACGACCCAACUUCUAGAGAUUUACUUGUGGUGAAAACCAAAGAAGUAUGUUCAUGACUCAGAAGUAAGGGGUGUAUGAUAAAUAUGAAUCUAAUUAGCAUCAGGUUCAAAUCUUGUGGACAAGUGACUUUGGAUAGAGUAUAACUAAAAAGUAGACUAAAAGGUGAUAAUUGUUAGACUUAUGAAAUCAAUGGGUAACAUAUGAGUUUUUCGUGAUAGUUUUUUUUCAUGAAGGAUUCCCAUGAUUUCAAGUAUCGAGGGUUUGUAAGAUUUUCAAUCUUUUAGCCAUAUGAAUUUUCAGUUGGUUUAGAUAACCUUUGUAUGUUUCAAUUCAUCCGUGAUUUUAACUCGGGAACAUGUCCGAUAAGGGUGUCACGAUACUUUUUCUUUUUACUUUUUUUGUUGUUGAAGGAAAAUGUUAUGACAAUGUAAAAAAAAUGAAUGAAAUUAUUAUGCAUUUAACUGAAACAUUUUAUUA